AUUAUUUUAUAAUAUAAUUAUAAGAAAAUAAAUUCUAUUAUUUAUAAGCCAACAAGAGAGGACCAACACAACAAUGACUAAUUGUACCUCGCUUUUGCUCUCUCCAUCUUUCUGCCCUUUUUCCCUCUUUCACUUUGCUUUUUCUGCUGUCAUUUCUUCCUCCCACUUUCUCAUCACCUUCUUCAAUGAGCGGUGAGAUCUACUGAACUUCGUUUUGUUCUUGCUCUACUGAUGCAGUGAUUUUUUGAAAUCGUGUGCAGAUAGAAGUUACGGUGAAUUGUGAUAUACAAGGAAUUUAAAUCCUUAAAUUAUUUUUUAAUUCAUCUAUUUAUAUGGGCCAAAUAUAAAAAUAUUAAAUGAAUUUUUUAUUUGACCUACUAACUAUUAACUAUUUAAUAAAAAUUCACCAACAGGAUAUUCGUAGCUA